rnacentral:rRNA from 1 species
GCAGUCGCCGCGGUAAUACGAAGGGGGCUAGCGUUGUUCGGAUUUACUGGGCGUAAAGGGCGCGUAGGCGGACUGAUAAGUCAGGGGUGAAAUCCCAAGGCUCAACCUUGGAACUGCCUUUGAUACUGUUUGUCUUGAGUUCGAUAGAGGUAAGUGGAACUGCGAGUGUAGAGGUGAAAUUCGUAGAUAUUCGCAAGAACACCAGUGGCGAAGGCGGCUCACUGGCCCGGUACUGACGCUGAGGCACGAAAGCGUGGGGAGCAAACAGGAUUAGAUACCCCAGUAGUCCCUGUCUCUUAUAU